GACGAACGCUGGCGGCGUGCUUAACACAUGCCAGUCGAACGGAAAGGCCCUGCUUUUGUGGGGUGCUCGAGUGGCGAACGGGUGAGUAACACGUGAGUAACCUGCCCUUGACUUUGGGAUAACUUCAGGAAACUGGGGCUAAUACCGGAUAGGAGCUCCUGCUGCAUGGUGGGGGUUGGAAAGUUUCGGCGGUUGGGGAUGGACUCGCGGCUUAUCAGCUUGUUGGUGGGGUAGUGGCUUACCAAGGCUUUGACGGGUAGCCGGCCUGAGAGGGUGACCGGCCACAUUGGGACUGAGAUACGGCCCAGACUCCUACGGGAGGCAGCAGUGGGGAAUAUUGCACAAUGGGCGGAAGCCUGAUGCAGCAACGCCGCGUGCGGGAUGACGGCCUUCGGGUUGUAAACCGCUUUCGCCUGUGACGAAGCGUGAGUGACGGUAAUGGGUAAAGAGGCGCCGGCUAACUACGUG
rnacentral:rRNA from 1 species